AGCGAACGCUGGCGGCAGGCUUAACACAUGCAAGUCGAGCGGGCCUUUCGGGGUCAGCGGCGGACGGGUGAGUAACGCGUGGGAACGUGCCCUCUGGUUCGGAAUAACUCAGGGAAACUUGAGCUAAUACCGGAUACGCCCUUUUGGGGAAAGGCUUGCUGCCGGAGGAUCGGCCCGCGUCUGAUUAGCUAGUUGGUGAGGUAACGGCUCACCAAGGCGACGAUCAGUAGCUGGUCUGAGAGGAUGAUCAGCCACACUGGGACUGAGACACGGCCCAGACUCCUACGGGAGGCAGCAGUGGGGAAUAUUGGACAAUGGGCGCAAGCCUGAUCCAGCCAUGCCGCGUGAGUGAUGAAGGCCUUAGGGUUGUAAAGCUCUUUUAUCCGGGACGAUAAUGACGGUACCGGAGGAAUAAGCCCCGGCUAACUUCGU
rnacentral:rRNA from 1 species